AAGCCUCAUACAUGCAAGUCGAACGAGAAAGCAUCUUCGGAUGUGAGUAAAGUGGCGGACGGGUGAGUAAUACAUAGGAAUCUACCCAAUGGCGGGGGACAGCUCGAGGAAACUCGAAUUAAUACCGCAUAAUCUCUACGGAGUAAAGAGGGCUUCGGCUCUCACCAUCGGAUGAGCCUAUGCAAGAUUAGCUUGUUGGUAAGGUAAUGGCUUACCAAGGCUACGAUCUUUAGCUGGUUUGAGAGGAUGACCAGCCACAUCGGGACUGAGACACGGCCCGGACUUCUACGGAAGGCAGCAGUAGGGAAUAUUGGACAAUGAGCGAAAGCUUGAUCCAGCUAUGCCGCGUGUGCGAUGACGGCCCUCGGGUUGUAAAGCACUUUAGGUAACGAGGAAAAGUUAAGUGUUAAUACCACUUAACCAUGACGUUAAUUACAGAAUAAGCACCGGC
rnacentral:rRNA from 1 species